rnacentral:misc_RNA from 1 species
UGGCUCUCGCAUCGAUGAAGAACGCAGCGAAAUGCGAUAAGUAAUGUGAAUUGCAGAAUUCAGUGAAUCAUCGAAUCUUUGAACGCACCUUGCGCUCCUUGGUAUUCUGAGGAGCAUGCCUGUUUGAGUGUCAUGAAAUUCUCAACCUACCGGUCUUUGCAGAUCGGUAAGGCUUGGACUUGGAGGCUUGUCGGCCCGUGUGGUCGACUCCUCUCAAAUGCAUUAGCCUGGUUCCUUGCGGAUCGGCUCUCGGUGUGAUAAUUGUCUACGCCGCGACCGUGAAGCGUUUGGCUGGCUUCUAACCGUCUCGAUGGAGACAACUUUCUGACCUCUGACCUCAAAUCAGGUAGGACUACCCGCUGA